CCUGUGGGUGUGUCAUUAACAUGUUUAUGUCCAUAUAAGGAGAGCAUCAGGGCAUUUGGUUCCUGGACUUGAAGAGUGGUUCUGGCAGCGCCGGUCAGGGCGUGCCGCCCAUAAAAGCCGACGUUGUCAUGACGAUGGACUCCAGCGAUUUCAGCAAGAUGUUUGCAGGGAAGCUGAAGCCCACGCUGGCGUUCAUGUCGGGGAAGCUGCGGAUCAAAGGUGACAUGACGCUCGCCAUGAAGCUGGAGAAACUCAUGAGCCGCAUGAACAAGGCCAAACUGUGAGACUGAAGCCCCGCCCCUGGGCCCUCUCAGGCCCCGCCUCUGGGGCCCCUCAGGCCCCACCCCCGUUCGAAGCUGUACGUGUUGCCUUAUCAAUGAAAAAAUAAUAAUACUAACAUGUUAAUAAAAUCUACCUUGGUAAUAAACUGA